rnacentral:rRNA from 1 species
AGUCGAACGGAAAGGCCCUUCGGGGUACUCGAGUGGCGAAGGGGAGUAACACGUGGGUGAUCUGCCCUGCACUCUGGGAUAAGCCUGGGAAACUGGGUCUAAUACCGGAUAGGACCACACACUUCAUGGUGAGUGGUGCAAAGCUUUUGCGGUGUGGGAUGAGCCCGCGGCCUAUCAGCUUGUUGGUGGGGUAAUGGCCCACCAAGGCGACGACGGGUAGCCGGCCUGAGAGGGUGACCGGCCACACUGGGACUGAGAUACGGCCCAGACUCCUACGGGAGGCAGCAGUGGGGAAUAUUGCACAAUGGGCGCAAGCCUGAUGCAGCGACGCCGCGUGAGGGAUGACGGCCUUCGGGUUGUAAACCUCUUUCAGUAGGGACGAAGCGAAAGUGACGGUACCUACAGAAGAAGGACCGGCCAACUACGUGCCAGCAGCCGCGGUAAUACGUAGGGUCCGAGCGUUGUCCGGAAUUACUGGGCGUAAAGAGCUCGUAGGUGGUUUGUCGCGUUGUUCGUGAAACCUCACAGCUUAACUGUGGGCGUGCGGGCAAUACGGGCAGACUAGAGUACUGCAGGGGAGACUGGAAUUCCUGGUGUAGCGGUGGAAUGCGCAAAUAUCAGGAGGAACACCGGUGGCGAAGGCGGGUCUCUGGGCAGUAACUGACGCUGAGGAGCGAAAGCGUGGGUAGCAAACAGAAUUAGAUACCCGGGGUACCCA